rnacentral:rRNA from 1 species
AGCGUUUGACAUGUCCGGACGAUUUCCAGAGAUGGAUCUCUUCCCUUCGGGGACUGGAACACAGGUGCUGCAUGGCUGUCGUCAGCUCGUGUCGUGAGAUGUUGGGUUAAGUCCCGCAACGAGCGCAACCCUCGCCUUUAGUUACCAUCAUUUGGUUGGGUACUCUAAAGGAACCGCCGGUGAUAAGCCGGAGGAAGGUGGGGAUGACGUCAAGUCCUCAUGGCCCUUACGCGCUGGGCUACACACGUGCUACAAUGGCAACUACAGUGGGCAGCGACCCUGCGAGGGCGAGCUAAUCCCCAAAAGUUGUCUCAGUUCGGAUUGUUCUCUGCAACUCGAGAGCAUGAAGGCGGAAUCGCUAGUAAUCGCGGAUCAGCAUGCCGCGGUGAAUACGUUCCCAGGCCUU